AAGGAGUCUAACAUGUAUGCGAGUGUUUGGGUGUCAAGCCCGAGCGCGUAAUGAAAGUGAACGGAGGUGGGAACCCUCAAGGGUGCACCAGCGACCGAUCCGGAUGUCUUCGGAAGGAUUUGAGUAAGAGCAUGGCUGUUGGGACCCGAAAGAUGGUGAACUAUGCUUGAAUAGGGUGAAGCCAGAGGAAACUCUGGUGGAGGCUCGUAGCGGUUCUGACGUGCAAAUCGAUCGUCAAAUUUGGGCAUAGGGGCGAAAGACUAAUCGAACCAUCUAGUAGCUGGUUCCUGC
rnacentral:misc_RNA from 1 species